GAUGAACGCUGGCGGCGUGCCUAAUACAUGCAAGUCGAGCGAACGGACGAGAAGCUUGCUUCUCUGAUGUUAGCGGCGGACGGGCGAGUAACACGUGGAUAACCUACCUAUAAGACUGGGAUAACUUCGGGAAACCGGAGCUAAUACCGGAUAAUAUUUUGAACCGCAUGGUUCAAAAGUGAAAGACGGUCUUGCUGUCACUUAUAGAUGGAUCCGCGCUGCAUUAGCUAGUUGGUAAGGUAACGGCUUACCAAGGCAACGAUGCAUAGCCGACCUGAGAGGGGGAUCGGCCACACUGGAACUGAGACACGGUCCAGACUCCUACGGGAGGCAGCAGUAGGGAAUCUUCCGCAAUGGGCGAAAGCCUGACGGAGCAACGCCGCGUGAGUGAUGAAGGUCUUCGGAUCGUAAAACUCUGUUAUUAGGGAAGAACAUAUGUGUAAGUAACUGUGCACAUCUUGACGGUACCUAAUCAGAAAGCCACGGCUAACUACGUG
rnacentral:rRNA from 1 species